ACGAACUACGCUACAGCCACCUCCUCCUAGAGGGCUUGUUAUAUUCAACAUGGCGGCCCACAUGCGGACCAGCCGGCGGAGACGGCGUGGCUGUGCAAGUACCUGCGGGAGCCGACCGGAAGGAUCUUCAUUCUGAGAUGGUUCUAACUCAAGUACCUUCCCAUCACUUUCCUGUAUUAUUCAACCUUACUUCAGAGAGGCCAUUUAUAGGAGAAUGAAAAGACAUGGAUUGAGAAUAUAAAAGGAAGAGAUACAGUAACAACAGUGAAGAGAAGAAAUUUUUAAAGAAAUAUUAAGGAACUAUUUCCUAGAACUGAAGAAGCACAUGAUAUUGUCUUCAGAUGGAAAAGGCUUACCAAAUGCCCUUUUAGCACAAUGAAUGAAAAUAACCACAGAUAAAUGUAUAUAUUUUGAAUUUCAGCAAAGCAUCAAUAAGGAGAUUGCACUGCUUCCAACAUGGGGCAAGAACUAAUCAAGAAACAAAGGAAUGAAAAAAUACUGCCAUCAAAUUUUCAUCUGCAACAGGGAAUACCAUAGACAAUGGACAAUGGAGUUUUUAGUGUUUUGAGGGAUAAUAAUUGUCUCUGUAAAUUUCUAUACUCUACACUGCCAAAUUAUCACUAAGUGAAAGGACAAAAGAACAACAUAUUCAAACAUUCAGGAAUUUUGAUAGUCUACUUCUGUUAACUAUUUACCUGACAAGUUAUUAGAUGUACUUCUAGCAAAAGGACAAAAUAAACCAAGAAAACCAAAGACA
rnacentral:lncRNA from 1 species